rnacentral:lncRNA from 1 species
CUCCCACUUCAGCCUCAAGCCAGCCCUGCUCACACCAAUCGUCACCUCUGGCCCACCACCAGAAACAGAGCCAAGAGAAUUUCAGAGGCUUCUUCACCAGCAUCCACAAUUGUGGGAAGUCUAAUUCCUAGUAAAAUCUCUUCUUUUCCAUCACACAUAAUGGUUCUGCUUCUCUGAUUGAACCUUAACUGGUACAGUUCCCCUACAAUACAUCAUGAAUGCAAGUGUGGCUAAUUUGUGCUUAUUAAUAGUGACGAGCAAUUGGGUGGCAUAAAUCAUUAAAAUUACAGGUGAUUAAAACGUGUUAUUUAGUAAUUUCAACCACUUCUUCUAACAAAUAUAAAAAUUAGGUGACUUCUAUUUCACUGCCUUUUAUGAAUUGAAUGAUGAAUACAGUUAAUGGUUCUCCUAUGUAAAUCAUUGCUUUUUCCAUAGGGGACAAUUUAAUACCGAGGGAACUUCCAACACUGGUAACAUCUGUCUUCUUUGUGUCAGAGAGUGGAGAUAUGUGUGGAGACUGUUUACAAAUGUGAGAAAAGGAGGAGGCUAAAUAUUUUUAGUGACACUUUUGGUGAUAGUAUGUGUACACAUAUAUCAUUUUCAAAAAUCCAAAGAGCACUUAUUCCUGCAAAUGUGAAUUAAUCCUUUUCUUACUUUGAGCAUGACCAUAUAACUUGCUUUGGUCCAUAGGACAUUAGCAAGAGAGUGCAAACCAAGACUUCAUAAGUACUUGUGCAUUGGAGCUUGGCUAUCUAGAAAGUUCCCUUUCGGGAGCCAGUUACUAUGUUGAAAAGAUGCUUGGGCUGAAUCAUGAGAGGCAACAUGGAGAGAGGCAUGGGGAAUUAGGAGACCCACCAGCUGAACCCUGCCAGAAUUUCUGAGAAACAGAAUUCUGAGAAAUAAUAAAUUGUUGUUUGGGGGUGGUUUGUUAUAUGGCAAUGGAAGACUGAAACAAGCUAUAACAGCCUUCACAACAAACUUUCUUCUUUCUUUAAACAAACAAACUAUGCAUUAACUUAGUUCUGAUUAUUCCUUUUUAAACUCCUUCCCUAGUUUUCCUCUUAUUGUCUCAACUUCGUCUUUUCUCAUGGAGGUGUGGAUGGCUGGUGCUAUAAGCAUUGUGAGUUGGGAGAUACUGGCAAGCCCUGCUUACCAAGAAUCUUUUCCUUAUCAGCCUGUCCUGGUACUUGAAACUUCACCAUUAUAUAAAUAAGGAAAAUUUUCUCCUAAACUAAAGAAUUUUCAUCUCCAAGAAUAAAUAUGCAACUAUCCCUGGACACAUACACUAUUCUUUGUCAUUCACCAUUGAGCCAGGAUUAAUUUGUAAGUUUGCUUUCCUGGGAAACAGCUAACUGAGAAGGAACAGAAAGACUUGCCCACACAUUGACUUCUGAUUGGUAGGCUCUUCCCCUUUUUCUCUAUCCAAAUAACUCCUGCUCUUUCUUCAGCUCUUUUUUUUUUUGGGAGACGGAGUCUCGCUCUGUCACCCAGGCUGGAGUGCAGUGGCAGUGGCGCGAUCUCAGCUCACUGCAACCUCCACCGCCCAGGUUCAAGUGAUUCUCCUGCCUCAGCCUCCCGAGUAGGGUUACCGCAGGCAUGAACCACCAUACCUGCCUAAUUUUUAUAUUUUUAGUAGAGACGGGGUUUUGCCAUGUUGCCCAGGCUGGUUUUGAACUCAUGGCCUCAAGUGAUCCAUCUGCCUUGGCCUCCCAACGUGUUGGCAUGAGCCACCAUGCCUGGCCUGUUCCUUCAGCUUUUAACUCCCUGAACCCUGUGAUUAGGUUAAUUUUCCCAUUAUAGGCUCUGAUAGUACCAAAAAACUCCUCUUUGAGCACUUAUCGCAGUGGCAAUUCAACCUUUUUUAUGUGUAAUUAUAUUUAUAUCUCCUAGAACUGUAAGCUCCAAAGGGUCAGAGACCUUGUCUGUUUUGACCACUGUAGUAUUCCCAAUUCUUCCCAUAUACGCUGACACACAGAAUGUACUCAAUAUUUGUUAAAUGAAUGAGUGAAUGAAUGAACUGUGAUUCUGAACAAUUAAAUUCUCUCUUUCUUUCUUUAGAAAUUCUUGUGCCUGGACUUGGUUUUUUAUUACUAUUGGGGGCAAGAAAGCAGUCACUUGGCAUUCUAAAAGCUCUAUGAGAUGUUUCAAGAGGAGGAAAUUAAAGCUAAGUGUGCUAUGCUUGAAAUGAAGACUUAUUAGACCAAUGUAGGCUCCCUUACAAUGCCUGACCCAUUUCAGUUGUAGCCCAUGAACAAAAUCAUUUCCAGAAGUGAGAAAACUAAUAAGAGCUAACAUGCCUUGUACUAGCAGGCAUUGUAAAAACAUCACUGGAGCGCCGUCAAUAUUAUUCCUGUUUUUCCACACCAUAAUAAUUUAUAGCUUCCCUUUCUUUUAUAAUUAAAUAAUUUCAGACGUGUUAAGGAAGAACCAUAAUGGUUUAAUACACUUUGCAGUUCUCUGAUUUAUCUUCACUGAAGCCUGUAAUAAUUAAACAUAAAAAUUAUAUACAGUGGGUUUAUUAAUAUAAGAAAAAAGGAAGUGAUGGAGCUUUAGAUUUUCUUUUAAUAUUGCUAUUCCACCUUUGAAUGGGUUGAGCAAGAAUAGCAAUCAUGUUUUAACCAAUGUUUAUCUUAUGAAUAGUAUUUUUGUCAUUUUCUGAGGGGUGUGUGUCAAAAGCUGCCACUUUUAUUUCCCUAGGGAUAAUUGCUGCUUGUUCUUCAAUUUAGAAUAUCUGGGGUAGUAAUUGAUCUGGAGAAGCACUUCUUAAAGUGCAAUGCUAAUUGCAGGAAAGAGAAAAAUGGGUUCUGUGGUCACACAGGUUUGGGAAAUGCUGCCUUAAAUAAAAUUAAAUAGUGCUUUUUUUCUUUUGUCACAGGAUUGAUAAUAAUAUGCUCUGUAAAUCUCCAAAAGGAAGGUUAUAAUAUACAGCAUUUCCCAUUGUCAUCUGAUCAUUGAAUUUUAAAUUUAAUUAAACACUUUUUUGGUUUGGUAUGUUCUUUGACAUUUAAAUGUGUUCUCUCAGUUUAAAUUUUGGGAGACUUAACCCUCAAAAUGUUUGUGAGAUAUAAAUAAUCCUCUUCUUAUGCAUGUAGAGAGGUGUAUACAGGCAUAACUUGGAG